rfam:Astyanax mexicanus chromosome 11, whole genome shotgun sequence.
AAACUGGCCCUCAUCAGGGCCACCAUAGGAAAAAAAAAAUAGAGU